rnacentral:lncRNA from 1 species
UCCAGGGAAAAAUCCAUACGUACUAGAAUGAAAUGUGCAGACUUUUUCAGACGAUCAACAAUUACCCAAAUGACAUCUUUCUUUUUUGGAGAUAAGGGUAACCUGAUACAAAGUCCAUAGUAACUCUUUCCCAUUUCCAUUCCGGUAUUAUCACUGGCUAUAAGAGUCCUAAAGGUACCUGAUGUUUAACUUUAACUUGCU